UGAAAAUCUCACGUCAGAUCUUCUCAGGCGUAUCCGGGCCCAUAUGCGACAAAAAGCCGAGCCGGCAGUGGAUAACACAGGCGCAGCGCUAGUCUCACAUCUCGAACAGAGAGAAAGUGGGGGAGAGAGAGAGAGAGAGACGCACACAGACACACAGACAAACAGGCAGAAAGGAUGUAGAGAGAGAGAGAGAGAGACGUACAAAGACACACAGACAAACAGGCAGAAAUGAUGUAGAGAGAGAGAGAGAAUCUAUUCUCUCACUUGCAGGGAGGGAGGGGGCUCCCGCAGAGGCACCGAUUGUGGAAGAACUCGUACUGGGUGAGGGUGGACAGGAAGCCGCCCCGAGGGAUCGGGCCGCAGAGGCGGUUGUAGCUGACGUUGAAGGAGCUCAGGUUCUUGAGCUUGGUCAGCUCCGGCGGGAUCUUCCCGUAGAUCCGGUUGUGGUUGAGGUCCAGGCCGCUGAUGUUGCGGAUGACCGCCGCCUUGGACAGGUCGAACUCCAGCUGGUUCCGGCUGAGGUCGAUGGACGUCCAUUUUCCGCUCCCCGCGAACAGCGCCGACGGGUCGCCGGUGAGCUGGUUCCUCGACAGAUCGAUCUGCGUGAUGUUCAGCCGCGCGAAGGACUGCGGGAUAGCGCCGGUGAGGUUGUUGUGGCUCAGCCGGAUGUAGAGGUCCGGCUGCGGGAGCUUGCCGAGGGCCUCGGGGAUGGGUCCGGAGAGCUGGUUCCGGUCGAGGAAGAGCGCCCCCAGCUGGGGGAGGUCGCCCAGGGAGGGCGGGAUAGCGCCGGAGAGCUUAUUGAAGGAGAGGUUGAUGUACUCGAGCUUGGCAAGGCGGCCGAGGAAGGCCGGGACGGGGCCGGUGAGGCCAUUCCAGUCCAUCCACAGCAUCUUCAGGCGGGUGAGCUUGGCGAGCUCCGGCGGGAAGGGCCCGGUGAGGUUGACGGAUUUGCGGAAGAUGAGUUUCUCCAGGUAGGGGAGGUCACCAAUGGACGGCGGGAGCUUGAUGGGCCCGGGGGUCUCCAUGCCGAGAAUGACAACGGCGGUGACGCGGCCGGUGGAAGGGUUGCACUCGGUGGCGUACCACUCGCCGCAGCAGUCGGUGCUGGCGGUCCAUGAGAUGAUAGUGUA
rnacentral:lncRNA from 1 species